UUUAACAUUUACACGAGUUUCUCUACAAAUCAUCACUGAAAACAACCAGCUAAACGACGACGACCUUUUCACUAGUCUGUGGGUCACAAUUUGGUGACACAAUAUGGGUCUUUGAUCCUUCAGAAAGUAAUGUUGCUCGAUGUUGUUCAAUUAAAAUUAAGUUGCAACUUGGCAUACAUACAAAUACGUAAGUAACUGUGUCUAUGUGUGCAUUCACAAUUUUCACAAAUUCAAGAAGCAAUUGAUUCUUGAACGACGAAUGCACUAUACAAACCAAAGUCACAGUCUACUUGUUUGUUGCUGCAGUAGUGUCUCGACAACUAUUUUGGACGACAGGAAGAGAUGGCAACCUAUGUUGACAUGAGAAGACGUCAAACCGGAAAAAUCUGCUUAUCACUUCACCAAUGCAACCAGCCAUGGCCACGACUAAUGCUCUUCCUGAUAUGGAUGAACUGUAUUUCUGAAUCUCCCAAUAACAAACAAGCAACAGAGAACCACAAGACAUAAAAGCUGUAUUCAAAAAGUUCACACUUAUGUAUUGAAACUUUCUCACCGUGGAUGACCCUGGUUGAAAUGUCUGUGCCGAAUUCUGCAGGAGUAGCCACAACUCCUAUGCAUAAAUCAUUAUGCACAAAAUUUGGUGCAGGUUUAUGCACAAUUUGACAAAGCAAUCAUGCCGACCAACUUAUGCAGAAAAUUAUAAGCAUAAUUAUGCAUAGAACUUAUGUCGAGUUUAUUAUGCAGAAAUAUGUACCCAUAAUUGUACACGUGUCUCAUAGCGCGUAACUCGAAUUGAGACGGCAUGGGUUUAUUCAUUUCAUUGAAUGAUUUCGCAUUUCACUUUUAAAUCCCUCUUUUAUCCAAACUUUUCGAUAUUUUCAUAGCAAAUU